rnacentral:lncRNA from 1 species
GAUCUGUAAGAAAUAAAGAGUCUGAAUAAAGAUGACUUCGUGCUGUUCGGUACUAGUGGAGAGUCCAUCUAGAUCGAAGUCGUAGGAAUCAAGCUGUUGAAGUUGCUUUCGAGCAAAAUUUUAAAAUUGAAAGAUUGUUACUAUGUGCCAAAUAUUAUUAGAAAUAUUAUUUCUAUAUGUGUUAUUAGAAUAAGAUUUUGAAAUAA